CUAUACGCAAUGCGCAUAACGUCUUAACGUAGCCCAACUCACUCCCUAUCGUUCAAUCCUCUAGGACAGACUCUAGGGAAAACGUCUCAAAGUAAAGAUACCAAUUAUGUACCAAUUAAAGAAGCAUUUAUUUGAAAAUAAUUGCCGGUUCAAUGCAGCAACAGCUGUCUGUAGAAGAAGCCUCGUAUCUCGAGUAAAACAACAGGCAAUCGUAAUAAUAGAAUGGAGAAAUGGUGGCGUUUUGUGUUUUAGUAGAACUCAUAGCCUUAUGACUGGGAGAGGUUUGUUGUCAAUGGUGUAAUAUGCCUGGCAGUUUGGGCGGUAAAUUUAUGGAGGCAGAAGAUCGCAGGAAGCCACAAAUUUUCGCACGAACUGUAAUUAUACAGUGGCCGUAGCGGAAAACGUACCCAAUAGCUUGGCUAUUUUCUUCGUCUCAUCACGGGGGAAAUAACCCCGCACCCCAUACGGUUUUUCGAGCGAUCGACUUACAGCGCAAUCCAUACUAACUUUAAGUUAUCAAUUGCGACAUAACGAAUCAAGCUCUUUCAGCAGAUAGCUUGUUUUUUUUGCGAUCUUCAUGACGUGCUACGAACUGCCGGUGUUAUUACGCCAGCAGUCAGUCAUUGCUUUAAAGAACUCGUAUGUUUGAUUACGGGGUGCUAGAAGUAAACGGCAAAGUAUGAUACGUAUAUAAUAUAUGGGAGACAGUUUUGGUUCUAGUUGUUAAUUUACAGAAUAGACCAGCUUCGUGUCUUUGCUUAUCUUUCACGCGUAAAGUUAAAAAGUUGAGAUUAAAAUAUCUUUGUCAUUUCCAGAAAAAUUACGUCAAAUUAUGUGUCCCUAGAAACAUAAUAUAUCAACAGUUUCAGAAAUAUUCGCAAUGGUUGAUUUAAACGGAACACUUUGUAUAUUUCGACGAUCUUUCCAACAUUAUAUAUUCAAAUGGAUAUUAGGAUGAAAAAUAUGACGAUAUCAAUUCAAUUAUGAAGAAACUAAUUGUUUGAGAUACCAACUGUCUCAGACUUAUUUGCACGAUUACAUAACUCGCAAGCGUAGCAUCGUAUAGUUCAUCUAAAUGUUCCGAGUUACGACAUAGCUAUUUAAGAUGGUAUGCAAAUUCCGGUUCCGGUACACGUGACACCAACAUGUCAGGUAUUUCAAAAUCGAACUUUUCCCAACCACGAUGCAUUCGUGUCCUAUGAUGUCAGAGGAAUCCCCCAUGAUCGGAAGAAGGUAUAUUAUAAUACGUAUUUAGAAAGCGCGAUCUGAUGAGGUGUCCGUGUUCUGAAUGCUGAUGGUUAUAAAUGAGCAAGCGCAGCGAUUUCGUGUAACUAAUCAUAACGUAUAGUUUAGCAUGAAUGAAGAAAAAAGCAGAAAGUCUGAUUCAAUUGCAUGGAUCAACAUUUAACAACUAAUACGAAGUGAAUUUCGAAUAGAUAUUGGUUAUUGAUAAAAUGUUACAAGAGAAGAACGCAUAGUAAUAAAUUUAAAAAAUAAGUUGAUCAUCAGACUUACUCGAAUUAAUUUUGUUUUAUAUUUGAAACAACGAAACGACACGAAAUUAACUUCAAAAUAAAUAAUCAAGAUCGAGUAAUGAUAUUUAAUGUCAAAACUCGAUACAGUAUACGCGUCUUUGAAAAUUUGACGCCCACGAUUGCAUCAAAUUCGAGUUUUAAAGUGGCUCACGGAGGUGACGAAAAAGUGUGCUACGACUUUCUCCGUUCUUGACCAACGGUUUUUCGAUCCAUCGUGGUGCACGAUAGGAGGUCAACGGAUGAACUCCGGUUGCUGGAUAACGAGAUAUCUAUACCUCAUAUCGAUACAGUUACCCGUUUUAACACAUUCAAUAUCCGUUAAAUUUCCAGAAGCGAGUGCUGAGGUUAGCAAGUCUGAUCUUACCGCAAACUUCUUUUUUCAUUUGUAUAUUCGUCGUUUUUUUAAUAACUGCAUGGAGAUUUUAGAAAAAGAAUGCGGAAAGGAAUGCACGGAGGAUCACGUUUGUUCUUAAGUGACGUCAACGCUACAUUCUCUUCUCUAAUAACUCAGAAACACUUUCUCCGGUGUUACGGUGUAACGGACGAAUAGAGAUCCACAAUUAUCGCACGAAACGCGCAAUAAGUAUACGUGACUUUCAAUAUCGUGAAUGGAUUAGAAUUCCCGAUUUCGCAAGCCAAGCAUGUACACAUAGUAGUUCUCGCAAUUACGAGCGUAGAAUUGUGUCAUCAUUUAAACAACCUUCGUUGAUUGCAUCACGUUACUUUAUUACAAACCGUGCAAUAAUUAUCAUAAGAUUCGUUAUACCAUUUAAAGAUACAAAAAAUAUGGCGUUUCGAUAAAUUGUAUCGUUUGUUUGUGUAAAUUGGGCUAAUGUAAACGAUGCAGUCUUCCAGUUUGUAUUAGGAAAAAUCUGGGACAUUCUGUGUAUGCAGCGUGAACGAGCCAAAUGACACACCCUGUAUAACACGUCCAUUUCUCAAGUAACAGGAAUCUCGUUCGAUUAUUUCAAAGAGAGUGCGUAAUUACCCUCGGUUCUUCAUUUCAACUCGUCGAGUGAGAGCUACCGGCUUGUAGCUUCCGAACCCUUUGUCGCUACUCGAAACAAUACCAUGCAACACGUCGUGCGACAUAUGGCUAACAACGGGAAAGGAAUAAAGUGGAGAAUCGAUACCUUGGAGAGAUAACAAUUUGCGUCAGAGUCAGACGUCACAUUGUUCGAUCGGUUUACACGAUAUUUGAAAUUUACGGUGCCGCAUUCGUGCGACGACUUAUGCUGUGCCAUGGAGCUCGAGGUCUGCUCUUAUCCAACUGCGGUUACAAUGGAAUAAACAUAUCUUUAACAAACCAGAGAACGGUUGAAAAAUUUUUGCAAUACUUGCGGAGGCAGAUACUCCUUCUAAAUAUAAGGAUCGACUAUGCGGAGAAUAUUGUCCUGCUUUCUCGUUAACUUUAAGGGUGCCGAUCUCGUGUUCGAUAUUUAAGAAACGGGUUUCGUUACAGCGCAGACACGGCUACCUGCAACAUUUUCUAUAUUCUUCUACUUUCGUUCGUUCGAUACGAUAUGGAGCUCAAGCCUUAAUAAAUGAAUUUAAUCGACCGGAAUUCACUUAAUUGGAUGCUGGAUACACGGUAAGUUCACAGUAAGUAAAAGGAAUCAUUUCUUACAACACGCUUGGUCAGCUUGUCUUAUUCUCACUCUCUCGUUUAACCAGCGUAGGCUCAAAAAUUCUCGGUUGGUUUAUCGCGUAAAAUCGUAAUACACGAGCGUGUUGUACGUAAAACGGGCACGCGUCUCUUGAACUAAAUACAUGUCAAUUUCUUUUUUUCUCCAGUCGAUUUUUGUAACGUUAUUAAAGUCGACAACUUUUCCUGGUCAUAUUUUGUCCACACAAUUAAUAAUUAUCUCGUUUUGUUACGCUUUCUCGGGCUCGGUUUCCUCGUUGGUAAAAUCGUCGCCGCGUGCCAACAAUUUCGCUCGAUACUCCCAAAGAGGAGACGUAGGAUAUAAACGAGGACGAGUGAGAUUUCACAUCCUUGUACGAACCAAAUGGUUGAUCACUUUUAAAAAGGAGCAGUCAUUCGGCAGCAUGCCAGCAUCUACCAUUAUCGAUGCUCGUGAUUUUAUCGACAACGUCUAGCACAAUGUUGUACCGUGAACGAUCUGGGUUAAACAUACAUUCCAUACGUACCGCUACUUGACACUGUACUUUUCGUCGGGAAACAAGAGGAACAGGGGAGCAGUUGCCUAAUGGGUAUGUAUGGUACUGGCCAACCUAAAUUGUAUCUCACAAGUUUCCUAUUAUAGAAUACAAACGAUAGAUAAUGAUAGAAACGUAUGAAAUACCUAUUCUUAAGUCGAAUCAUAUAGUAAUGAACAAAAGUAUUGGCACAGCCAACUUCCUUUCUAAAAUCCUGUACAAAUUUGUAAAAAAUGUGAUAUUUUAUUUAAUUCUCUAGAAAUAAAACAGCAUCUUGAUUGCAAAUUCGAAAAUAAUACAUGUGUAUAGACCGAACAUUUCAUAAGCGCAACGAAUGGAAUCAUUGUUUCAUAUAAGUAAUAUUUCUCAACUUUGUGAGGUGAAACUUAGGUAUUCUAAUUAACUUGAAAUCAUAAAUACGCGUUGAACUUGGUCCCGUUAAUGGAAACCAUGCAAAUAACGAUUUCUAAAUUUCAGUUCCCUUAAUUAACUCUUAUAAUUCUUAAAUAACCAAGUAAAAGUGAAAUUUAAUUGCAAAAAUAAUAAUAUAUAUAUCUAUGACGUACAUCAUACGACGCGUAUCGUUUAAAACUGACGUCUUAAUAUGCAACGACAAUUAUCCACUUCAGGGCGAAUUUCUAUUGAAAAAGCAACAACUAGAAAGAACGUCUAUAAUUCCUACUAAUAUUUCAACGUAAUCAACGGAAUGCAAAUGAAAAUUGGAGCGGAACGAUCGUUAAAAGAAUAUUAAUUUAAUAUCGACCUAAAUUUCACACCAGUUUCGUUUCUGCAGCUGAUUUGUUUAUUGCUUAACUUGUCUAUUCCAUUCUUUGUCCUUAAGGCCAGUAUCACUAGAAAAAAGUUUAGAAAAUCAGUGACCGAUCGAAAAAUUAUUAGUAGCACUUUCAUAAACAAAGUUGUUUGUGAUAGCGUCGUAAUUGAAUUUCCCCAAACAUAAUGAAAUCGUUAAAUUUAGGUGGAAAAAGGAACCGACAAAAAAUGCUAAAUAAACCAUUGAAAUUCCCUUUCAUACCCACAGUAUUAGAAAAUAAAAUUCAGCAAUGUAAAUUGUCUUCAAAAAUGCAAAUGUAAAAAGUUAUAUCAUGAUGAAUUAAAGUUAAAUCAAUUUCGUUGAAUGCGCAUGGAAGUAAAGAGGAGAAUAAGUGACAACCAGAGCGGAAUGUACGUAAUGGAGCAUACGAUGCGCUACAAAAAUGUAGGAGGAGCUUGGUUUUCGUAACAGAACGAAUAUGGAGCGAAAGUCAGUUUGGAUCUGUGCUCUAGCCUCGAACAUGUUCAACGUGAACGUGAACGUGAACUCUUUUAAGUCAGUGACACUGUAAGACAGCGUACUGAAUAAAUACUAAUAAAUUAUGUACAAAUUUAGUAUAUAUACAUAGAAUAAAUAUAUAUAUUUUGCUGUAACGUAAGAAUAAGUAUGUAAUUUCAUCAGAUAAAGAUUACAUCACCUUAGUAAAAUUAUAUUUACGUAUGUAACUUUAUGAUGUGAAACAACUUUUAAAUUUUAAAACGUUAAGAAAUAAAAAAAUUUAUUGUAUUUGUUAAUCUUUUUCUUGACAUGUUUAAAUUGCUUCUCCAUAGAAAUAAAAAAAUGUGACUUAC